UACGGGGGGAGCAAGCGUUGUUCGGAUUUACUGGGCGUAAAGGGCGCGUAGGCGGUCAGCACAAGUCAGUUGUGAAAUCUCCGGGCUUAACUCGGAAAGGUCAACUGAUACUGUGCGACUAGAGUGCAGAAGGGGCAACUGGAAUUCUCGGUGUAGCGGUGAAAUGCGUAGAUAUCAAGAGGAACACCUGAGGUGAAGACGGGUUGCUGGGCCGACACUGACGCUGAUGCGCGAAAGCUAGGGGAGCGAACGGG
rnacentral:rRNA from 1 species